rnacentral:rRNA from 1 species
CCUACGGGAGGCUGCAGUGGGGAAUAUUGGACAAUGGGGGCAACCCUGAUCCAGCCAUGCCGCGUGUGUGAAGAAGGCCCUCGGGUUGUAAAGCACUUUCAGUGAGGAAGAACGCCUGGUGGUUAAUACCCAUCAGGAAAGACAUCACUCACAGAAGAAGCACCGGCUAACUCCGUGCCAGCAGCCGCGGUAAUACGGAGGGUGCGAGCGUCAAUCGGAAUUACUGGGCGUAAAGCGCGCGUAGGUGGCUUGAUAAGCCGGUUGUGAAAGCCCCGGGCUCAACCUGGGAACGGCAUCCGGAACUGUCAAGCUAGAGUGCAGGAGAGGAAGGUAGAAUUCCCGGUGUAGCGGUGAAAGGCGUAGAGAUCGGGAGGAAUACCAGUGGCGAAGGCGGCCUUCUGGACUGACACUGACACUGAGGUGCGAAAGCGUGGGUAGCAAACAGGAUUAGAUACCCCAGUAGUC